CCGGGCUUGGCGGAACUGGUAGACGCGCUAGACUUAGAAUCUAGUGGGCGACCGUGGGGGUUCGAGUCCCUUAGCCCGGACCA
rnacentral:tRNA from 1 species